rnacentral:rRNA from 1 species
UACGUAGGGCGCAAGCGUUUGUCCGGAAUUUAUUGGGCGUAAAGAGCUCGUAGGCGGUUUGUUGCGUCUGUCGUGAAAGCCCACAGCUUAACUGUGGGUCUGCGGUGGAUACGGGCAGACUAGAGGCAGGUAGGGGAGAAUGGAAUUCCCGGUGUAGAGGUGAAAUGCGCAGAUAUCAGGAGGAACACCCGAUGGCGAAGGCAGGGUCUCUGGGCCACUACUGACGCUGAGAAGCGAAAGCAUGGGGAGCGAACAGG